AAGAACGCAGCGAAAUGCGAUAAGUAGUGUGAAUUGCAGAAUUCAGUGAAUCAUCGAAUCUUUGAACGCACAUUGCGCCCCUUGGUAUUCCAUGGGGCAUGCCUGUUCGAGCGUCAUUUGUACCUUCAAGCUCUGCUUGGUGUUGGGUGUUUGUCUCGCCUCUGCGUGUAGACUCGCCUCAAAACAAUUGGCAGCCGGCGUAUUGAUUUCGGAGCGCAGUACAUCUCGCGCUUUGCACUCAUAACGACGACGUCCAAAAGUACAUUUUUACACUCUUGACCUCGGAUCAGGUAGGGAUACCCGCUGAACUUAAGCAUAUCAAUAAGCGGAGGA
rnacentral:misc_RNA from 1 species